UCGGCGGCUAUCGGAAGCAACGGCGGGACGCGGGAUUCUGCUGUCGCUGCAGCUACAGAAUGGCCGGCGGUGGCGGGAAACGCAGGCCCGGCGGGGAGGGGCAGCAGUGUGAAAAGACAGUUGAUGUGAAGAAAAGUAAAUCCUGUGAAGCUGAUGUCUCCAGUGACCUUCGAAAAGAAGUAGAAAAUCAUUAUAAGCUUUCUCUGCCUGAAGACUUCUAUCACUUUUGGAAGUUUUGUGAAGAACUUGAUCCUGAAAACCCAGCUGAUUCACUUUCCACAAGCCUUGGACUUCGAUUAGUGGGUCCUUAUGAUAUCCUUGCCGGAAAACAUAAAAUGAAGAAAAAAUCAUCAGGCCUGAAUUUUAACCUUCACUGGAGAUUUUACUAUGAUCCUCCUGAGUUCCAGACCAUUGUUACUGGAGAUAAUAAAACUCAAUUCCACAUGGGGUAUUUCAGGGAUUCUCCUGAUGAACUUCCUGUAUAUGUUGGUACAAAUGAAGCAAAGAAAAACUGCACAAUUGUUCCAAAUGGAGAUAAUGUGUUUGCCGCAGUCAAAUUAUUUCUGAUGAAAAAGCUUAAGGAAGUAACAGAUAAAAAGAAAACUAGUCUCUUGAAAAACAUAGAUGAAAAACUCACAGAAGCAGCCAGAGAACUUGGGUACUCACUGGAACAGAGAACCAUGAAGAUGAAACAGAGAGAUAAGAAAGUCGUGACAAAGACCUUUCAUGGUGCAGGCUUGGUUGUCCCAGUAGAUAAAAAUGAUGUUGGGUACAGAGAGCUCCCUGAAACAGAUGCCAACCUCAAGAGAAUUUGCAAGACAAUUGUUGAGGCACCAAGUGAUGAGGACAGACUAAAAGCUUUUGCUCCCAUUCAGGAAAUGAUGACUUUUGUGCAGUUUGCUAAUGAUGAAUGUGAUUAUGGUAUGGGGCUUGAGCUGGGAAUGGAUCUCUUUUGUUAUGGCUCACACGUGAGUAAAAAAAAACCAAAAAACAAAAAACUCUUACCUCCCGUCACUGAAUCUCUCUUCCCCAUCACACUCCACAUACAGGCAUACUACAGCAUGCACAUUUAUGUCCCCACUAGCACGGGUAGGAUAUAAAGUCAUUUUGUGUGUUCAAAUGAAUUUCUUUUUUCCAAAAGGAACUUUUUGGUAAGCAUCUGUCUGAAGAUAUUUAUUUGAAAUUCGUCUUAUAUUCUGCCAGAGUAUUUUCAUAAAGUUGCUG